rnacentral:lncRNA from 1 species
AUUUAAUCAUAAAAUUGCUUGUGACUUAGAUAUUGACUCAUUGUAUAAAUGGCUGAAGACUCAGAGAAAUUAAGGAAAUUCCUCAGGGCUUCAUGAGAAAAAGCAGAACUGACACUCAACUUAAGGGCUCCUAGUUCCUUCCCAGAUACAGUCUAACCACCUUGACUGUCAAGAUCCUCUGCAGAACGCCGCCCUGUCCCAGCACUCCCCCAUACAAGUCACUCCCCCGCCCUUGAACAUGUUUAGUUCUUCCCAGGCUUAUCAGUUUGGCCAGUCUUAUUAAUCUCCCAUGUAGCAAUGCUCUUUGAGAGCCAACCUGAGCUGUUGAAAUCCCCUCCUCUUUCAAUAUUGACCUUAGUGCCGCCUCUUUCUUGAAGUUCUGCCUGUCCCGUCCUUGGCUUCCCUCUCCCAGUUGUGCUCUCUUGAAGUAUGCUUUGCCUUAAAUUAUAAUUCUUUCUAUGUUCAAUAAAGGAAGAGGCAAUUUUAUUCUGCCACACUUGUCAGCAGUGCCAAAGGAAGUACUUGUUGAAGAGAUGAAAGAAUCGGUGAAUUAACAGCAAGAAAAUCACCUACUCCAGAGGCUAAAAGCACUUUGCCACCAUUGAAUGCCAGAAGAUUCACUUCCUCACCUGUGUUCACUGUGGAAACUGAGUCAUUAUCCAGCUUCAGACAAAAGCUCCUCAGCACAGCUGCCUGUGGUAUUGUUCAUCCUGCCGUAGCAGGUUUUAGAUGAGGUAUGUAUGGCUCAUGUCAGCCCUGGCAUCUCCUGCCCAGUUCUCCCCACCCACAGGUCCUGGCAGCUAUCACAGAUAUCUUUUUUCUGCGUGGAAAUCUGGGCCCAAUGUCAAGCUUCCUUGCCUCGUGUUUCCUGCCUGUUGUGCGAUGAGUCCUACAGAUAGCUGGCCAAAGUGGACCCAGCAGCUCCAAGGACAGAAUAAAGGUAGAAGAGAACUUCUGUGUUGCCUCCAACUCAAGCCAGACCUGUAUCUCUUCUCCUCACCUCCACGGCCAACUCUAGGCUCUUCCUAUAUAGUCCAGAGUGGUCUUGAACUCACUAUAGAGCCCAAGCUGGCUUUGAACUCAUGGCGCUCCUCUUGCCUCAGUCUCUUGAGUGCUGGGAUUACAAGCAUGAGGUACCACACCUAACUUCAUCUCCACUUUUUAAAAACUCAAAUUUUUGGAGGUAUGACUCUCUCAAAACAGAUGGUAUUUAUUUUUCUCAUUUUUAGAAUCCUUUGAAAUACUGUACUAAAAAAGCUAAAAGCUAUGUAUUGUUUUUAAUUGAAAUUUUAAUUGAGAUAAUUAUACAUUAACAUUUAGAUAUAAGGAAUAAUAUAGAGAGAUUCCAUAUGACUUUGUAUAUUUUCCCUUAUGGUAAAACUGUACAAAACUGUAGCACAAUAUCAAAACCAGGAUACUGACAUUGUACAAACUAUCACUUUUAUUCAGAUUUCCCCAGAUUUACUUACUUGCAAUAAUUUGUGUGGGCAUUUAGUUCAUAUAAUAUUCCAUUGGUUGUAUAUUCCCCAUCAUAGUCAUGAUAGUGAACAGCACCAUCACCACAUGUGAUGGUGUGUCUGUUACACUGCUCUUUUAUAAUAACUCCCAUCCACCUAUCCCUUUAUCCCUAAUCCCUAGCAACCCUAAUCCCUAGCAACCAAUACACUGUUCUCCAUUUCUAAAAUUGUAUCAUUUCAGAAAUGUCAUAUAAAUGCAGUUAUAUUGUUUGCAAACUUUUGGGAUUAGUUUUAUUCCCUCGGCAUAAUUCCCUGGCAACUCAUCCAAGUUGUUGAUUUAUUGUUCAUUUUUAUUGCUGAGUAUUCCAUAGCAUGCCUGUGCCACAGUUGGUUUAAUCAUUCACCUGUUGAAUGACAUCUGGGAUACUCCAGGGGUUUUUUUGUCAUGUGUUUAUUUUGGGGUUAUCGGUGAUAAAGCUGGUAUGGAGAUUCACAUA